rnacentral:rRNA from 1 species
GAUGAACGCUGGCGGCGUGCCUAAUACAUGCAAGUCGAGCGAACAGACGAGGAGCUUGCUCCUUUGACGUUAGCGGCGGACGGGUGAGUAACACGUGGGUAACCUACCUAUAAGACUGGGAUAACUUCGGGAAACCGGAGCUAAUACCGGAUAAUAUUUCGAACCGCAUGGUUCGAUAGUGAAAGAUGGCUUUGCUAUCACUUAUAGAUGGACCUGCGCCGUAUUAGCUAGUUGGUAAGGUAACGGCUUACCAAGGCAACGAUACGUAGCCGACCUGAGAGGGUGAUCGGCCACACUGGAACUGAGACACGGUCCAGACUCCUACGGGAGGCAGCAGUAGGGAAUCUUCCGCAAAGGGCGAAAGCCUGACGGAGCAACGCCGCGUGAGUGAUGAAGGUCUUCGGAUCGUAAAACUCUGUUAUUAGGGAAGAACAAACGUGUAAGUAACUGUGCACGUCUUGACGGUACCUAAUCAGAAAGCCACGGCUAACUACGUG